CAGCAGCCGCGGGAAUACGUAGGGUGCAAGCGUUAAUCGGAAUUACUGGGCGUAAAGCGUACGCAGGCGGUUUGUUAAGUCAGAUGUGAAAUCCCCGAGCUUAACUCGGGAACUGCAUUUGAAACUGGCAGGCUAGAGUCUCGUAGAGGGGGAUGGAAUUCCGCGUGUAGCAGUGAAAUGCGUAGAUAUGCGGAGGAACACCGAUGGCGAAGGCAAUCCCCUGGGCCUGUACUGACGCUCAUGCACGAAAGCGUGGGGAGCAAACAGGAUUAGAUACCCGGGUAGUCCCUGUCUCUUAUAC
rnacentral:rRNA from 1 species